AUGCCCGUGUCAUUCCAUGCCAGCUUGACCAUGGAGCAGGCACACUUCAACGUUGUCAUGGAGGAGGAGCAGCCAACGCCAACGACGGUGUCGGCGUUUCGGCAGGCACGGGAGGAGCAGUGGUACAACCUAUCCCUCCUCGCACAACACCGACUGGCGGAGGGCCAAAUCUCCGGCGAGUUCAUGAGCGAGGAGGCCAUGAUGGCCAUGGCCGCAGAGAACACCAACUUCAUCACUGAGCAGUACGCGUUGUAUGAGGUCGCGCACGCUCGCGCCAACUACAACAUAGUCAUGGCGCGGUUGGACGCAGAGGUGGCGUAG
rnacentral:rRNA from 1 species